rnacentral:rRNA from 1 species
CGAAGCCUGAUCCAGCCAUGCCGCGUGUGUGAAGAAGGCCUUUUGGUUGUAAAGCACUUCCUUUGGGGAGGAAAAGCUAAUAAUUAAUACCUAUUAGCCCUGCCUUUACCCACAGAAUAAGCACCGGCUAACUCUGUGCCAGCAGCCGCGGUAAUACAGAGGGUGCAAGCGUUAAUCGGAAUUACUGGGCGUAAAGCGAGCGUAGGUGGUUACUUAAGUCAGAUGUGAAAGCCCCGGGCUUAACUUGGGAACUGCAUCUGAUACUGGGUAACUAGAGUAGGUGAGAGGGAAGUAGAAUUCCAGUGGUAGCGGUGAAAUGCGUAGAGAUCUGGAGGAAUACCGAUGGCGAAGGCAGCUUCCUGGCAUCAUACUGACACUGAGGUUCGAAAGCGUGGGUAGCAAACAGGAUUAGAUACCCUGGUAGUCCACGCCGUAAACGAUGUCUACCAGUCGUUGGGUCUUUUAAAGACUUAGUGACGCAGUUAACGCAAUAAGUAGACCGCCUGGGGAGUACGGCCGCAAGGUUAAAACUCAAAUGAAUUGACGGGGGCCCGCACAAGCGGUGGAGCAUGUGGUUUAAUUCGAUGCAACGCGAAGAACCUUACCUGGUCUUGACAUAGUAGGAAUCCUGCAGAGAUGCGGGAGUGCCUUCGGGAAUCUACAUACAGGUGCUGCAUGAUUGUCGUCAGUUCGUGCCGUGAGAUGUUGGGUUAA